rnacentral:pre_miRNA from 1 species
UUAAUACUCCCUCCGUUCGAAAUUACUCGUCCAAGAAAUGAGUGUAUCUAGAUGUAUAUUAGUUGUAGAUACAUCAAUUUUUGUGACAAGUAAUUCUGAACGAAGGGAGUAGGAA